GCAACUCGCCUGCAUGAAGUCGGAAUUGCUAGUAAUCGCAGAUCAGCAUGCUGCGGUGAAUACGUUCCCGGGCCUUGUACACACCGCCCGUCACACCAUGGGAAUCGGUAACACCCGAAGUCGGUAGCCUAACCGUAAGGAGGGCGCCGCCGAAGGUGGGAUUGAUGACUGGGGUGAAGUCGUAACAAGGUAAC
rnacentral:rRNA from 1 species